AAGUCGUAACAAGGUUUCCGUAGGUGAACCUGCGGAAGGAUCAUUAACACCUAUCCAAACGUUAAAACCCCCGGAAAGUAGCAGGCACAGCGGGUAAAUCAUCGCCGAACAGUUUUGAUUCCGUCUACCUGUUGCGUGAAGUGUGAGACGAGGCGAAGUAGUGGCCUUGCAUCCCUCUGCUUGUUAAUGUCUGGAAGUGUCAUUAGCUCUGUAAGGAUGGCGCAGUAACGAUCGCUAGAGGCCAUCACGGCCGGCGACCUGGCCGCAGGGCGCGAGCCCCCCUGAUCACCCCUUUGCAUGAAAACGGGCCUGCGCUUUCUUGUGCGGCCACCAAACUCCAAUGGAUAUCUUGGUUCUC
rnacentral:misc_RNA from 1 species